AGCGCAGGAGAGGCGGCCGCCGCCGCGCAGGCAGCCCCCGGACCGCGGCUUUGUAUUCAUUAAACACACAUCGGAGCUUAUCAGAAGUCAGAGGCUUGUCGGGAUGGCACAUUGUGUGUGCCAAUUUUUGAGACUGCUUUGCUAUGAAGGGCUAUGCUGCCUGCAUAAAACCUCAGUGAAGAAGGGCUUGCAUUCAGCGCCUGUCAGCUGAUGUUCAUAUCAAAGAAGUGAGAAACACGAUUUGACAGUGAAGAAUGUCCUAACCUGACAACCACUGACCAGCAUUCCUAUUGGAAGCAUUUCUUUCUCGUGAUCCCUUUUCAAUGUUGGGAAAAAAAGAAAAGUUUUUUUUUUUUUUUUACAAUAAAAUAAGCUUCUAUUUUUAUAAUAAAAUAAAUGAUAAUGGCACCUUACAUUUGUGUACUUCUUUACUAUUUAUGAAGUGUUCUUUCAUCUGCAAAUAUUUAUACUAACACCCUGGAUGGAAGAAUUCAUUAAAAUCUAGCAUCAAGAACAAUAUUUUACUUUUCUUUAGAAAGGGAAAAUUGUAAAAAUAUAAAGCUGUAAUCUUGUAGCUGCAGUAUGUACUGUCCUACCUUUUCCAGCAGCUUGCAACUUGAUAGGGCUGUUUGCCUUGUACUACAAGAAUGUAUCUUAUUAGGAAAGCCCUUUUAAGGAUCAUAUUUAAAUCAAAUUAUUAGCAGAUAUUAGUGAGUCACAGAGACUAAAGCUAUAAAGGAAAAUAGCGUUUCAAAGAGUUCUGGUCUGCUUUGAGCUGUCCAAACAUUAAAGAAAAAAAUACACCAUUUUUUUCCACUUCUUUUAUUAGAUAUGAACUGGACACUGGAGAAACUCCAUACUCAAACUCUCCCACUCAGUAUUUAGCUUUUCAAAUAAAGUGACUGCUGUCUAAAUGGUUUACAAAAAUUAUGAAUGCUUACACAAAGUCUUCUAACAUAAAGUUCUUCUCUUAGUAUGAUCGUAGAUAAAGUCAGCUUUUAUACACCCAGAAUGAGCCUGAUUCCUUGAUUAUUUAGUGGAAAUUCUUUCUUUUGAAAGAAUAAGCCAAAGAAAUGCUAAAUACAGUACAGAUAAAGCAAUGUUAGACUUCAACUUCCUCAAUAUCCUUCCUGGCUGCAAAAGAUGCCUAGGUCAAACACUGGGUGAGGCUGUCAGCUGUCCCUUUAAAAAUAAGCACCCAUAAAAAGAAAGAAAAGAGAAAAAAAAUCAGACUGUCCCAUGCAUGCUACCUGAAAGCCCCUACAAUGUUAAAACUAGAACUGACAUGAAGAAUAAACAAUGGGGAAAGAUCCAGAGAAUUAGGAAUUUGCUUCUCUUUGUACACAUCACAUCUGACAUAAGCAUCUGGGUUUGGGCCAGGAUGGUUUAACAAACAAUUCUGUUUGUUCACCUUUUCUAAGGAACUGUAUGACAGGAGUGACUGGCCACAACAGACUGCUCACAUGGUCAAAGCAAAAGACUGCAAAAAACUAAAGAAGGCCCGGGACACUACCGGUUUAUCACUGAAAAGCUGAUCAAUUUGUAUUCUAGCGAGUGUGGACUCACUGGGCACAGACCCAGUUUCACUCCCGUUCUAUGCAAAGGGAGGGUUAUGACAAUAAAAGCCAGUGAGUGCACUUAAAAAUGGUACACAUGUUUAAAAGGGGCGGGGGGGGGGGGUCUGUAAAACAGAUUUCAGUUCACACAGAAGGUAGAAA